rnacentral:rRNA from 1 species
GGGUGCAACUGACGCUGAGGCUCGAAAGUGCGGGUAUCAAACAGGAUUAGAUACCCUGGUAGUCCGCACAGUAAACGAUGAAUACUCGCUGUCGGCGAUAUACUGUCGGCGGCCAAGCGAAAGCAUUAAGUAUUCCACCUGGGGAGUACGCCGGCAACGGUGAAACUCAAAGGAAUUGACGGGGGCCCGCACAAGCGGAGGAACAUGUGGUUUAAUUCGAUGAUACGCGAGGAACCUUACCCGGGCUUGAACUGCACCCGACGGACGGAGAGAUCCGUCUUCCGCAAGGCGGGUGUGGAGGUGCUGCAUGGUUGUCGUCAGCUCGUGCCGUGAGGUGUCGGCUUAAGUGCCAUAACGAGCGCAACCCUUCUCUUCAGUUGCCAUCAGGCAGAGCUGGGCACUCUGGAGACACUGCCAUCGUAAGAUGCGAGGAAGGUGGGGAUGACGUCAAAUCAGCACGGCCCUUACGUCCGGGGCUACACACGUGUUACAAUGGGAGGUACAGAAGGCCGCGACCCGGCGACGGGAAGCCAAUCCCCAAAUCCUCUCUCAGUUCGGACUGGAGUCUGCAACCCGACUCCACGAAGCUGGAUUCGCUAGU